rnacentral:rRNA from 1 species
AACGAACGCUGGCGGCGUGUUUAAGACAUGCAAGUCGCACGGGAUAAGACAUGUAGUAAUACUUGUUUUAUUUAGUGGCGCACGGGUGAGUAACACGUGAAUUACAUGCCCUAUAGUGGGGAAUAGCCCAGGGAAACUUGGAUUAAUACCCCAUGGUAUCGAAAGAUUAAAGGUGGCCGCAAGGCUGUCGCUAUAGGAUUGGUUCGCGCCCUAUCAGCUUGUUGGUGAGGUAACGGCUCACCAAGGGAAUGACGGGUACCUGGUCUGAGAGGGAGAUCAGGCACACUGGAACUGAGACACGGUCCAGACACCUACGGGUGGCAGCAGUCGAGAAUAAUUCACAAUGGGGGCAACCCUGAUGGUGCAACGCCGCGUGGAGGAUGACGGUCUUCGGAUUGUAAACUCCUGUCAUCUGGGAGAAAGACCUGACGGUAAAUAGCCGGCAGGGUUGAUAGUACCAGAAGAGGAAGGGACGGCUAACUUCGUGCCAGCCGCCGCCGUAA